GAAAAUGAGAGUGCAAAUGCAAAAUCGUUUCAUAUAUUGGGUUAGAGAACAGGAGAAGCUUCCUUCCUUACCUUGACAGUGCAGCAAACGACAAAACACUGAGUGGGAACGUUUUCUGUUUGAGAGUUUGGUCGACAUGCCUAUUAGAAGCUUAGUAGAGGUGGAGCCACCAAGCCCACUCAGAUACUUGAUCGGAGCCGCCGUUAUGAUGAUCGGAGUCGUGUUACCCGUCGGCUACAUGAUGUUCCGUAACAAGCGCGUUCCCUCUUCUUCCUCUUACUCCAAACAGACGUAGGAACAAGGUUUUGAUUUGAUAUAGAGACAUGAUGGUGAUGGUGGUGAUAAGGGGAGAAGCCUGUGGUUUAGUGGAUAUGUUUGGAGGGGGUGAUUGAUUAGAUUAGAGGCUUCAACAGAUCUACAAUUUGUUGUUCAAUUGUAUAUGCAUUUUGACAUCCCAAAUGUGGUUGUUCACCUGAUUCUAAAUUCCUAUACAUGCUGAUUGUCUUCCCAUCUUUACUCCUGGUAUUCGGUAUUGUGUAGCACAGAAAAUUUCAAUGCACGUGAUUUGGUUUUAAUUUGUUUAUUUAAUUUUUUUUUUUAACUUUUAAGCAAGAAGGAAGACUUGAGUGUUGAUGCUGGCCUUGACUAUUUGAUCAAUUGGUCUUUUUCUGUGAGGAUGCUCGAGUCUUGUGAAUUUGUAUUGGUUUAGGGAGUAUGAACUUGAGGUUAGGCAGUGAUCUUUCAAAUAUGUGAAUCCUUUCAGUUACUGGCUUUCACUAUUUGGAUGAUUUCAUAUAUAGAUAACUUCUGCUAGUUGAAAGAUUUGUGGGUAUCCUGUUAGAAAUGUUAGUGACAUUUUAGUUUGAUAAGGGUAGUAACUUUUAUUUUAUUAAUGUAGAAAGACUGUAAUAGCAGUGUAUGUCAUAUUAGCUAGAAUAGUCACGAUUAUUUAGUAGGGUGAAUGUUUUCAUGGUUUAUUACCCAGAUAUAUUGAU